AGCCCAUUUUGGUGGGUCCUAAUCCAACAUGGCCUUAUAAGAAGGGGAGAUUAGGACACAGACCCGCAGAGGGAUGACCAUGUGAAGACACAGGGAGAAGAUGGCCAUCCACAAGCCACGGAGAGAAGCCUCAGGAGAAAUCAGCCCUGUCAACACCAUGAUCUGGGACCUUGCAGCCUCCAGAACUGACGCCAGCAGCGGAAUCCCCCCAGGAAGGUGUCGGGCCAGCGUCCCCUCAGUGACCCUCCCUCCCUGCAAAGUGGGAGUGGGACCUGUGCUCCUGGCCGUCUGACCACAGGAGGGACAGGCCGUCCCACUGUCCCCAGCAACGUCCACCCCCUCCACGCCUCCAGAGUGCUGCUUCCUCGUCCCGCCCCUCCACAGCCCGUGGCCUGAG